rnacentral:tRNA from 1 species
AGGCCGGGGGGAGGGCGACUCCGCCUUUUUAAGGUUUGCAACCUUACGUGGAGUAUCACUACCGGCCU